GGACUACCCGGGUUUCUAAUCCUGUUUGAUCCCCGCACUUUCGUGCCUCAGCGUCAGUGGCUCCUUGGCAGGCUGCCUUCGCUAUCGGUGUUCUUGACGAUAUCUAAGCAUUUCACCGCUACACCGUCAAUUCCGCCUGCCUCAUCAGCACUCAAGCCCCGCAGUAUCAACGGCACCUCGACAGUUGAGCUGCCGUAUUUCACCGCUGACUUACAGGGCCGCCUACGCACCCUUUAAACCCAAUAAAUCCGGACAACGCUCGCCACCUACGUAUUACCGCGGCUGCUGGCAC
rnacentral:rRNA from 2 species